rnacentral:rRNA from 1 species
AGUGAACGCUGGCGGCAGGCCUAACACAUGCAAGUCGAACGGCAGCACAGAGGAGCUUGCUCCUUGGGUGGCGAGUGGCGGACGGGUGAGGAAUGCGUCGGAAUCUGCCUUUUUGUGGGGGAUAACGUAGGGAAACUUACGCUAAUACCGCAUACGACCUACGGGCGAAAGUGGGGGAUCGCAAGGCCUCACGCAGAAAGAUGCGCCGGCGCCGGAUUAGCUAGUUGGCGGGGUAAAGGCCCACCAAGGCGACCAUCCGUAGCUGGUAUGAGAGGAUGAUCAGCCACACUGGGACUGAGACACGGCCCAGACUCCUACGGGAGGCAGCAGUGGGGAAUAUUGGACAAUGGGCGCAAGCCUGAUCCAGCCAUGCCGCGUGUGUGAAGAAGGCCUUCGGGUUGUAAAGCACUUUUGUCCGGAAAGAAAUCCUUUCGAUUAAUACUCGGGAGGGAUGACGGUACCGGAAGAAUAAGCACCGGCUAACUUCGUGCCAGCCGCCGCGGUAACAC